rnacentral:lncRNA from 12 species
UACAAGAAGCUCAAAACAUAAACUCAGAGUCAUAUUUACUUGGAGUCUCCUUUCCUUUCCCAAGACAUUGGCGACAAAUGACUUCAUUCUUAUUACAUUGAAAUAAAAAAGGAAAAGCCACCAAAAGUUCCCUUGUGAGAAGAAUACACUGACUUUGGAGUUGCCCAAGUGGCUUGCUAUCACAUACAAAGAGGAGAGAAGCCAUGGUAUGUGAGGUCCAAGAAAAUGCCUUCAGCCAUCUUGCACUUCUGCUCUCCACAAUGAGUAGAUUGUGCCUGUGGUAGGCAUUGUUUUUCAUCCUGAAUCCUGGAUACAGAGACUCAUGGAGUAGAUUGGAACCCAGACUGUAAACUGGCGUGAAGAGCAACUCAAUUGGCCAGGAGCCAAUUUCCUUUUGAUAAAUUCGUGCUUCAGGCUAUAUGGCACUGACCACUACAUUACGGACAUCCUGACAAAUGAACAGGUAUGCAGGCAGAGUGUGUCAACCAUGAUGUGGGUGGCUUCUCCUAGGGGUCUUGAUCCUGGGGAGAUUUUUAUUCUUCUUACUCUGGCUGUCAAGAUAGAUACAGAAAGUGUGCCAUCUUUGGGGACUUUCUUCCUCACCACUGAACAAUGGACUUAAGUCCUUCUGGUGUUCACUUUGAGAAGCAAGAUCUCAGCUAUGUAGAGCUGUAUAAGGAGAAGGUCCUACUGCAGAGAGUUGACCUUUCACAUUAUUAAGAGCUGAGAAGGCCAAUAUAAUCAUUUAAUAUUUAAACAUUUUUGAGAAACUUUUUCUAAAUUUUUUUUG